rnacentral:rRNA from 1 species
CCUACGGGUGGCAGCAGUUGGGAAUCUUGCACAAUGGGGGAAACCCUGAUGCAGCGACGCCGCGUGGAGGAUGACGGGUCUAGGCCUGUAAACUCCUUUUAUCGGGAAAGACUUAGGACGGUACCCGAUGAAUAAGGACCGGCUAACUACGUGCCAGCAGCCGCGGUAAGACGUAGGGUCCAAGCGUUGUCCGGAUUUACUGGGCGUAAAGAGCGCGUAGGCGGCUCGUUAAGUGUGAAGUGAAAUCUCUAGGGCUCAACCCAGAAACUGCUUUACAUACUGGCGAGCUAGAGGGAUGCAGAGGUUUGUGGAAUUCCUGGUGUAGCGGUGAAAUGCGUUGAUAUCAGGAGGAACACCCAUGGCGAAGGCAGCAAACUGGGCAUCAUCUGACGCUGAGGCGCGAAAGCGUGGGUAGCAAACAGGAUUAGAUACCCGGGUAGUC